UACAGAGGGUGCGAGCGUUAAUCGGAAUUACUGGGCGUAAAGCGUGCGCAGGCGGUUUUGUAAGUCUGACGUGAAAGCCCCGGGCUCAACCUGGGAAUUGCGUUGGAGACUGCAAGGCUUGAAUCUGGCAGAGGGGGGUAGAAUUCCACGUGUAGCAGUGAAAUGCGUAGAGAUGUGGAGGAACACCGAUGGCGAAGGCAGCCCCCUGGGUCAAGAUUGACGCUCAUGCACGAAAGCGUGGGGAGCAAACAGG
rnacentral:rRNA from 1 species